UUUUUUUUUUUUUUUUGGGUGCACUUGCAGCAUACAAAAGUUCCAGUUACUGAGCCAGGGGUCGAACUGAGCCACAGGAGCCACAGCAGUGACAAAAACAAAUCCUUAACUAUUAAGCCACCAGGGAACUCCAUGCAAUUGAAUUUUGUGUUGACCUUGUACCCAGCAACUUUGCUGAAUUGUCUUUUUAGUUCUAACACUUUUUUUGGUAUAGUCUGUUUAAUUAUUUUCUUUAUAGACAAUCAUGUUGCCUGAGCAAAGAGAGUUUAUCUAUUCUCUUCCCUUAUGGUGUUGAUGGAAAUGCCAUAGGGUCAAUCACAGAGGCCUGUGUUUGGUUGCUUAAUCCAAUUUCCUAUCAUGGGUCCUGUCUUCCUGCUCACAGUUCCUUCGUGAAAGGCCCAUCAUAGUCAGUGAUCAGGGUUUUUUAACUUCUUUAACAAGCCAGUUUGAGCGUAUGAGGAUGGGGGCUCUCAGUCUAGUCCAUGGUUUCAAGCAGUGAAUCUGGUCUGGUUCCCACCCACUUCCCUCACCCCAUGGAGAUCACUUUUAGUUUCACUUCCCCUGCAGAAGCCCCAUUGCAGAAUUUUCUGCCUCCUUUCAGGCCUGGAGUCCAAUAUCUUCAGUCCUAUCCAUUGCUUUGUAUUUCUGGUCCAUAGAAAAGGUUAUAUUUGGGGCCAACUGUGUCUUUUAAUUUUUCUCUUGUACAUUUUAAAAACAAUUGCUUUGUGUUUGGAGCUAAGCAAGUAUCUUAAAGAUUUAUGUACAGCAAUGCUACCUUGACCAUAAAUCAUAAUUCUAAAUAUCCAUUAUGUAAAAGAUUAUUUAACUAGCUUCUAAAACUGCUGAUACUACAUAUAGUAAUUAUCAUUAAAUACAGGCUACUCAGAAUUUUGACAAUGUCUUUCAGUUCCUCGUGCUCUAUAAAUAUUAGAGUUGUGUCUGUGUUUUUCAUGGGGAACGGAGGUAAAUACUAUUUUCUACACCCAAGAAAACUGAGGCCUCAGGAGUUCCCAUUGUGGUGCAGAAGAAAUGAAUCCGAAUAGGAACCAUGAGGUUGCAGAUUUGAUCCCUGGCCUCGCUCAGUGGGUUAAAGGAUCCGGCAUUGCUGCGGCUGUGACCUACACCACAGCUCACUACCACACCAGAUCCUUAACCCACUGAGCAAGGCAAGGGAUAGAACCGGCAACCUCAUCGUUCCUAGGAAGAUUCAUUUCUGCUGCACCACCACAGAAACUCCUGAUUAUGUUACUUUUUACAUGUAACACUUAAAUAGUAACUCAUUCAACCCUUUAAAUAUUAACUCGUUUUAAUCCUUACAACAACCCUGUGAACUGAGAAGUACUAUUAUCUGAGUUUUAUGGAUGAGGAAACUAAGGCCCAGAGAGAUUAAGUGACUUGCCUAAGGUCACACAGCUAAAAAGUGCUAGGAUCUGAACCCAAAUUCCCUGGCUCCUGAAUCCAUGCUUUUAACCAUUAUACUGUGCUUCUUGUCUGGUUUAUGUAUAGUCCCCCAGGAUUUCACUUGAAAAUCUCAUGUGUGAUUGUACAAAAUAUCUCCUCGAAGGUAUAACACCCUCUGGUAGGUACUGGGCAUCCCUUUGAAAUUUCUGUGCAGCUCUUGGGGUAUCUAACAGGCAUGUGUUCACAGGCUGUCUCCUGCAGAAGACCUCAGAAUCAGACCUUCUCCCUCUCUAGGGAUGAGGGUACAAUAAAGCAAUUUCUACUCAUACAAACUUUAAGAAAUACAGUUUCAGCUUAUAUUUAAUAACAACAAAAAGUCACGCUAUGUUUUAUUCUUCUUAUGAAGUGCCCCCCCCCAUAUACACACAAGCAAGAAUAUUACCUAGGAUCUGUCUGCCCUCGGUCAGGGUGAGUUUGCACGGAGCCAUCCCCACAUUCUCCACCCAGGCCCUUGUGAACAGCAUCAUGAAUUUUUUAGAUGAUUGGCUGGACCUGGGAGUGCAGUUCAGAGCUGUAGGAGAGAUCUACAGCUGAGAGUAGCAAACUGGUCUGGAGAGAAGCCCACAACCUUGGCCUCUUUGCCCUGGGAGACCAUGGUCAUGGCCCUGAAUAUCUGCAAAUCCUCUGACCUUCCCCACUGCCCUCUGGCUGUGCCCCAAAUGGCUUUCCCUGCUAAAAGAUGGGAGCAGAGAGAAAGUUUCACAAAAAGUUAGGAUGAGCUUGGCUUUCAGCUGCUUACACGAACUCUGACUUAUGUUGAGGGGCGGAUCUUCUUGUCUCUGGCCUCUUUCAUGACUCCUGCCGGCUUCCCUACUCAUAAUUUCCAAGGCCUCUGCCCAUUCUCCAUCUCCAGGAUGCCUGUCCUGGAUCUUUCCCCCACAGAGCCCUAGUGCUAAUUUGGCUGGAAUUGACAGAACACAAAUUCCUCCUAAGAAAUUAGGUGAUUCCUUCUCAGGCAAGGGCUAUCCUCUCAAUACUGCAUUUGCAUCUUAAUAAGGGCAUUCAAAACCAAAAAGUUAAGAAACUCAAAGGAGUGAAUAUCUAGGGGUAGAAUUUCUGUCUCAUUUACACCAAGAGAUUGGUAGGAGAUUGUAGACCUCCCCACAUUUGUGUAUGCAUCUAAAACUGGCCCAGGAGUUGCCGUUGUAGCCCAGUGGAAACAAAUCUGACUAGCAUCCACAAGGACACAGGUUGGAUCCCUGGCCUCGCUCAGUGGGUUAAGGAUCCAGCCUUGCCAUGAGCUUCAGUGUAGGUCACAGACACAGCUAGGAUCCUGUGUUGCUGUGGCUGUGGCGUAGGCCAGCAGCUGCAGCUCAGAUUAGAUCCCUAGCCUGGGAAUUGCCACAUGCCACAGGCGUGGCCCUAAGGACAAAAAAUUAAUUUAAAAAUAAAUAAAUAAAACUGGCCGUAUUGUCAAUGUCAGGUCCACAGACAUUCUCAGAUCCAGAGUAAAAACAUUCACUUUGGUGCAACAGCUAUUUCUCUCUGAGUUUAUUUUUAGGACUCAUCAAAUCCUAAGACCCAGAUCAGGACAUGCUAAUAAGCUCAGUUUACUGGCAACUAUAGCAGGGUCCUUUGUCAAAUGGGGUAUUUCCUCUGACGUCACUGGACUACUCAUCAGCUCCAAGGUGGGACUUUGCCAGGAAAACCUGAAUCGAAGAGGAGGCUUGGCUUUCGGGGAAGAGGGCCUGUGUCCUGGCAGAGGGUGUGUCUGCUCCAGGCAGUCCUCUCAGGGUCGCUGACUCUCUGGGUUAAGGCACUUUGACCCAAGAGGGAAAAAAAAGGUGUAAAGAGCAGGGGCUACAGCAGUAAGCUCUUACAGGACGGGACUUGUGAACUGGUAGGAUGGUGAUGGCCUCAGCUCUACCCACCUCAGCUGGCAGAGGCCUAAGCUGUCUUCCCUGCCCACCCCUCCUGCUGUCUCCCCCCCACCCCCAUUUCUCCCCCUAUUCUGAAGAACAGCUGCCUAGGUGACACUUUUUAUUUCCAAAACCUUCUUUGUAGUUCUUCCUUGACUCCGUUCUCAAAAUAUUCCCUCUCUUCCUCCUUCAAUGCCAGACUGUUGGCAUCUGUCUCUCCGUCUUGUGCAGACUGCCAUCUCUGGCUCACCACGGUUUUAUAAUUGCCUCUGGUUAAAGUUUAAAUAGAUGGGUUUCAGCCCAAGAGAAAAAUGUAAACAAGACCUUUCUGCAGUCUUUCAGAACUGCUGACUUCCAGUGCUUUUGAAUUCUGUGCUAGGAAAUUCAUUCAGCUCCUCCCUAACUGAGGAACUGAGAACCGCCACUGGGCUUUCAGAGACGGGAGAGGCACUUUGAAACCAUUGAGAGGCUUUUAGAUGAUCUACUCUUUUCCUUUUAACUCAAUUAAGCCAUCAGGAUCCAGUUCCCAUUCUAGGCUGUUUGUCUGGUGUCCUGAGGUGAUAGGAGAGUUAAGCAAUCUUCACGAACUGGCUUCUGAAGAAAGGGAGGAAAUGAAGGGAAUUUUCAUUUCUUUGCUGGAAUUUUUUCUUUGUGGGGGAAGAAGGAGAGUUGUAUUUGUUGCCCCAAGUCUUUUUGUUCAUGAGGUAGUCUUAUGCAUGCAUCAGGAGAAUGGGACCAUUCUUGGCCAAUGCAGAAGAAAGAGGGCAGGGGGGGUUUGAGCCAGUGAUCCAGGCAUAUAUCCCUUCAUUUGCUCUUUCCUCAGAGGUAAAUAGGCUAUUUUGUUGCAUCUUUAUCAAGACUAUUGAUUUUCUAAGUGUUUCUGCUUUAUGUGCUUUGUGUACUUGUGAUUUGGUGUCAGGAUGGAUUCAGUGAUACUUUCGGAUGUUUUAGUCAAGGAUUGGUUGGAUCCUUGACUUCUACUCAAAAACGUUUAAUAACUCCUCAUUUCAAGUUCAGGCUCCUAUUCAAAGCCUUCCAUGGUCUGGCUCCAACCUACUUUCACCCUCCACUAUUCCAGUCGUACCCUGACCUCACUGAACUUUCUACCCUGCUCCCUGCUCCUUCCUUACUCUGCAAUGUCCCAGUGCUGCAGAGCCCUCCCCAGCCUCCUCAAAGUGCCAUCUUCCUCUGUUCCAUGGAACAUUCCGUGUCCUCCAUGCACAACCAGAACCAACACUCCUUCCCGCAGUGCUCACGCAGCCCCUCAUAGGAGGCCUUAUUGCUCAGCCCAUGUUGAUCUGUCAGCUUCCUGCUCUAGCUACUCAGCUCUUAAGUGGAGGAUGGUUUAUUACAUCCCCCACACUGCCCUGCCUCCUGCAUGGCCCAUUGUCAGUGCUCAACACAUCAUCAAUUUUUCAUAAUCAAUCUUUCACAAUCAAUCAAUUUUUCAACCUUUCUGAAAACUUAAUGUCAAUAUUUAAAAAAUUGCUCUUGAGAGGAACCAACGGUAGUGAAGAAAGGAUUCUGGAGUCAGACAGAUUUGGGUUCUAAUUUAAGCUCCGCUGAGUAUUAGUACUAAGGUGGUGUCCCCAUUUUUUAUUUGUUCCAAGCCUCACUCGCUUUGAAAAAAUGAAGACAGUAAGAUCUCUUUUGU
rnacentral:lncRNA from 1 species